rnacentral:rRNA from 1 species
GGGGGGGGGGGGGGGGGGGGUGGGGGGGGGGGGGGGGGGGGGGGGGGGGGGGCUGGGGUGGGGGGGUCGGGUGGCGGACGGGUGGGUACCCCGUGGGUGACCUGCCCGGGACUUUGGGAUAACUUCCGGAAACUGGGGCUAAUCCCGGCUAGGUGCUCCGGCUGCAUGGUGGGGGUGGGAACGUGUCGGCGGUUGGGGAUGGACUCGCGGCUUAUCAGCUUGUUGGUGGGGUAGUGGCUUACCAAGGCUUUGACGGGUAGCCGGCCUGAGAGGGUGACCGGCCACAUUGGGACUGAGAUACGGCCCAGACUCCUACGGGAGGCAGCAGUGGGGAAUAUUGCACAAUGGGCGGAAGCCUGAUGCAGCAACGCCGCGUGCGGGAUGACGGCCUUCGGGUUGUAAACCGCUUUCGCCUGUGACGAAGCGUGAGUGACGGUAAUGGGUAAAGAAGCACCGGCUAACUACGUG